UGGGGAAUAUUGGACAAUGGGCGAAAGCCUGAUCCAGCCAUGCCGCGUGUGUGAAGAAGGUCUUCGGAUUGUAAAGCACUUUAAGUUGGGAGGAAGGGCAGUAAGCGAAUACCUUGCUGUUUUGACGUUACCGACAGAAUAAGCACCGGCUAACUCUGUGCCAGCAGCCGCGGUAAUACAGAGGGUGCAAGCGUUAAUCGGAAUUACUGGGCGUAAAGCGCGCGUAGGUGGUUCGUUAAGUUGAAUGUGAAAGCCCCGGGCUCAACCUGGGAACUGCAUACAAAACUGGCGAGCUAGAGUAGGGCAGAGGGUGGUGGAAUUUACUGUGUAGCGGUGAACUGCGUAGAUAUAGGAAGGAACACCAGUAGCGAAGGCGACCACCUGGGCUCAUACUGACACUGAGGUGCGAAAGCGUGGGGAGCAAACAGG
rnacentral:rRNA from 1 species